GGAGGGUGCGAGCGUUGUUCGGAAUUAUUGGGCGUAAAGAGCGUGUAGGCGGUCCGGUAAGUCAGAUGUGAAAGCCCUGGGCUCAACCCAGGAAGUGCAUUUGAAACUACCAGACUUGAGUACGGGAGAGGAGGGGGGAAUUCCCGGUGUAGAGGUGAAAUUCGUAGAUAUCGGGAGGAAUACCAGUGGCGAAGGCGCCCCUCUGGACCGAUACUGACGCUGAGACGCGAAAGCGUGGGGAGCAAACAGGAUUAGAUACCCUGGGUAGUCCACGCCGUAAACGAUGAGCACUAGGUGUAGCGGGCAUUGACCCCCCCUGCUGUGCCCGUAGCUAACGCAUUAAGUGCUCCGCCUGGGGACUACGGUCGCAAGACUA
rnacentral:rRNA from 1 species